CAAUAAUAGAAGCUGCUCUUUGGGCCUUCAUUGUGAGCUAUGUGAUGCUUCCACCACACUGCCAAGUCAAACAUUGUAAUUCCACUCACUGAGAACUAUUCCUCAGAGAGGGAGCAAGUGAGCAAGACUGUCCUGAUACAACGUCAGCUAAGGCCAACGUAAGAGCAAUAUGAUGGAAGUCACAGAGCAAAUACCUCCUAUUGUGAACGUAUAGGAUGCCAAAGUCCCACAUUUGGCUUGUCUGCACGCAUGCUACGUAUGACUUGGGCUGAAGAUGAUGAGCACUUCAACCAUUCAAGCUCCCACAGAAGAACUUCCAGUGCACACCAAGUUGUAAUGAAGUUUUAUGAAAUUCUUAAUGAAAUCACGAUGACAGAAGUAAUAAUGAGAGUAUAAUAAUGUUUUCCAAAUGAAUUUAGUAUAGAUUGCUUUGUAUCUUCCUAUAUAUUUCUAAAACUUGCUUCUGAGCCCCAUACUGUAACUUUUCCUUUAUCAUUUAUCUAGAUAAAUAUUUCAUAUAAGCAGGACAGUUUUAAUCUGUUUUAUCGUACUUCGAAUAUAUAUAUUGAAAAUUUAAUGUAGCUGAGAUCCACUUCAAAUUGCUUGCUAUCCAAUGUAACAAUUAGGUGCAACAUCCUGUAAGCAGAGAUGAGUGAAUAGGUCAUUCAGUAUCAAUCACUUGUGUUUUAAAGGAAACGUGUAACAUUGAGUUAGAAAAUCACUCCUUUUUAAUGCAUCUCCUUGACCCACCAGGUCAUGUGAUUUAAUAUUUUUCUUACAUGAUUGUCUGUGUGAACUAAUUAAUUACUGAAUUGUUAUGUGAGUUUUGUCUUUUAUUUUUUUUUCUUCAUUUUACAUGUUCUAGAUUCUGUGAGGGUGGUAAUGCAACAGCAUUAACCAAAACAGUAAGACAUUGUAUCUAUUAGAGGUGGCCAAUAUCUUACACACUCAAAGCAUACUGUAUAGAAAUAAAACAAACAAAAAAAACCCCACAAUACUUCUAAAAAAAUUAAUUGAGAAUUUCAGAAGUUUUUGUGUUGUACUUUCUACAGUCUUAUCAUUCAGUACUGCUCACAUCUGCAUAAGUCAAUUAUUUGUACAGAAAGGCUUUAUUUCUUAAUUUAUGAAGUACCCAACUGAAAAUUGAUACUAAUGAA